rfam:Globicatella sp. HMSC072A10 Globicatella_spHMPREF2811-1.0_Cont700.2, whole genome shotgun sequence.
GCGGUAGUGGCGGAAUGGCAGACGCGCCAUCUUGAGGGGGUGGUGAGUGUAUACUCGUGUGGGUUCAAAUCCCAUCUACCGCA